GACGAACGCUGGCGGCGUGCUUAACACAUGCAAGUCGAACGAUGAAGCUGGAGCUUGCUCCGGUGGAUUAGUGGCGAACGGGUGAGUAAUACGUGAGCAAUCUGCCCUUCACUCUGGGAUAACUGCGGGAAACUGUAGCUAAUACCGGAUACGAGACCUUGGGGCAUCCCAGGGUCUGGAAAGAAUUUCGGUGAAGGAUGGGCUCGCGGCCUAUCAGCUAGUUGGUGAGGUAAUGGCUCACCAAGGCGACGACGGGUGGCCGGCCUGAGAGGGUGACCGGCCAGACUGGGACGGAGACACGGCCCAGACUCCUACGGGAGGCAGCAGUGGGGAAUAUUGCACAAUGGGCGAAAGCCUGAUGCAGCAACGCCGCGUGGGGGAUGAAGGCCUUCGGGUUGUAAACCUCUUUUAGUAGGGAAGAAGCGCAAGUGACGGUACCUACAGAAGAAGCACCGGCUAACUACGUGCCAGCCGCCGCCGUAA
rnacentral:rRNA from 1 species